rnacentral:rRNA from 1 species
GACAGAGGAUGCAAGCGUUAUCCGGAAUGAUUGGGCGUAAAGCGUCCGCAGGUGGCUAUGUAAGUCUGCUGUUAAAGAGUCUAGCUCAACUAGAUAAGAGCAGUGGAAACUACAAGGCUAGAGUACGUUCGGGGCAGAGGGAAUUCCUGGUGUAGCGGUGAAAUGCGUAGAGAUCAGGAAGAACACCAGUGGCGAAGGCGCUCUGCUAGGCCGUAACUGACACUGAGGGACGAAAGCUAGGGGAGCGAAUGGG